rnacentral:rRNA from 1 species
ACCCGCUGAACUUAAGCAUAUCAAUAAGCGGAGGAAAAGAAACCAACAGGGAUUCCCCUAGUAACGGCGAGUGAAGCGGGAACAGCUCAAAUUUGAAAGCUGGCCUUCUGGUCCGCAUUGUAAUUUGUAGAGGAUGCUUUUGGCGCGGUGCCUUCUGAGUUCCUUGGAACAGGACGCCUUAGAGGGUGAGAGCCCCGUACAGUUGGACACCUAGCCUUUGUAAAGCUCCUUCGACGAGUCGAGUAGUUUGGGAAUGCUGCUCUAAAUGGGAGGUAAAUUUCUUCUAAAGCUAAAUACCGGCCAGAGACCGAUAGCGCACAAGUAGAGUGAUCGAAAGAUGAAAAGCACUUUGAAAAGAGGGUUAAAUAGCACGUGAAAUUGUUGAAAGGGAAGCGCUUAUGACCAGACUUUUUCCAGGCGGAUCAUCCGGCGUUCUCGCCGGUGCACUUCGUCUGGUUUAGGCCAACAUCGAUUUUCGCCGGGGGAUAAAGGCUUCGGGAAUGUGACUCUCUCCGGGGAGUGUUAUAGCCCGUUGUGUAAUACCCUGGCGGGGAUCGAGGUACGCGCUCUGCAAGGAUGUUGGCAUAAUGGUCAUCAGUGACCCGUCUUGAAACACGGACCAAGGAGUCGAACAUUUAUGCGAGUGUUUGGGUGUUAAACCCUCACGCGUAAUGAAAGUGAACGGAGGUGAGAGCCUUUUAGGUGCAUCAUCGACCGAUCCUGAAGUCUUCGGAUGGAUUUGAGUAAGAGCAUAACUGUUCGGACCCGAAAGAUGGUGAACUAUGCGUGGAUAGGGUGAAGCCAGAGGAAACUCUGGUGGAGGCUCGCAGCGGUUCUGACGUGCAAAUCGAUCGUCAAAUCUGCGCAUGGGGGCGAAAGACUAAUCGAACCAUCUAGUAGCUGGUUACCGCCGAAGUUUCCCUCAGGAUAGCAGUGUUGUUUUCAGUUUUAUGAGGUAAAGCGAAUGAUUAGGGACUCGGGGGCGCUUUUUAGCCUUCAUCCAUUCUCAAACUUUAAAUAUGUAAGAAGCCCUUGUUACUUAAUUGAACGUGGGCAUUCGAAUGUAUCAACACUAGUGGGCCAUUUUUGGUAAGCAGAACUGGCGAUGCGGGAUGAACCGAACGCGAGGUUAAGGUGCCAGAGUAGACGCUCAUCAGACACCACAAAAGGUGUUAGUACAUCUUGACAGCAGGACGGUGGCCAUGGAAGUCGGAAUCCGCUAAGGACUGUGUAACAACUCACCUGCCGAAUGUACUAGCCCUGAAAAUGGAUGGCGCUCAAGCGUCUCACCCAUACCUCGCCCUCAGGGUAGAAACGAUGCCCUGAGGAGUAGGCGGCCGUGGAGGUCAGUGACGAAGCCUAGGGCGUGAGCCCGGGUAGAACGGCCUCUAGUGCAGAUCUGGUGGGUAGUA